CUUACAAUGCCUCAUGUUGGUGCUCGCGGUGUGGUUCACACACCGCAGUUCAACGGGAAGCAGGAGGGACAAGUUCACACAGAACCGACCUAACCUGCGCUGCCCCCGCAACGGUAAGCAGACGAACUGUGUGCCAUUUUUUUGGUGCCGUGUUCCGCUUUCAUUUCUCAACCACUGGGUGUCGCAAGGCGCCUGGGAAGGUGAUGAAGGUCGCUCUGCCAGCCCGGAUACCGGCCAACAAGGCGGUGGUGCG
rnacentral:ncRNA from 2 species